GGGCGAUGUUUGAUCAUGGCUCAGGAUAAACGCUGGCGGCGUGCCUAACACAUGCAAGUCGAACGCUCUGAGUAAUCAGAGAGUGGCGGACGGGUGAGUAACACGUGGGUCAUCUACCCCGAGGUGAGGAAUACCGGCGAGAAAUCGCCGACAAUACCGCAUAUGCUUCGUAAGAAGCAAAGUUCGCAAGAACGCCUCAGGAUGAGCCUGCGCUCGAUUAGCUCGUUGGUGAGGUUAAAGCUCACCAAGGCAACGAUCGAUAGCUGGUCUGAGAGGACGAUCAGCCACACUGGGAUUGAGAACGGCCCAGACUCCUACGGGGGGCAGCAGUGAGGAAUUUUCGUCAAUGGGGGCAACCCUGAACGAGCAACGCCGCGUGCAGGAAGAAGGUUUUCGGAUCGUAAACUGCUUUUCUCUGGGACGAGAACGGACGGUACCAGAGGAAUCAGCCUCGGCUAACUACGUGCCAGCAGCCGCGGUAAUA
rnacentral:rRNA from 1 species